GCCUUGCUAGUUGGCUCAAUUGGUUAGAGCGUGGUGCUGACAACGCCCAGGUCACAAGUUAGAUCCCUGUAUGGGUGCA